GUUGACAAAAUUUAUACAUCUUACCUCAUAUAAGCACAGUUUCGUCUUGUAAUAGUUGUUCAAAAGCCAGUCCAUUGCGAGUCUUGCUGUUAAAAUAUUCCUGACUUAGUUCGUUUGGUUCAGCUGAAAUUCCCCAGACUAAUCAAAACUUUCGUCGUAUUUCUUUCAAUAAAGUAACUAUUUCGUUUGGUCUUUCAAUCUUUGCUUCUUUGGAAAGCAAUUUCUUCAAAUUUGCCGCUCAACAACAGUUUAAAG
rnacentral:lncRNA from 1 species